rnacentral:rRNA from 1 species
UACGAAGGGGGCUAGCGUUGCUCGGAAUUACUGGGCGUAAAGCGCACGUAGGCGGAUUGUUAAGUCGGGGGUGAAAUCCUGGAGCUCAACUCCAGAACUGCCUCCGAUACUGGCGAUCUCGAGUUCGGGAGAGGUGAGUGGAACUGCGAGUGUAGAGGUGAAAUUCGUAGAUAUUCGCAAGAACACCAGUGGCGAAGGCGGCUCACUGGCCCGAUACUGACGCUGAGGCACGAAAGCGUGGGGAGCAAACAGG